ACCCCCGGGAGGAGGAUGGUGUCGGCGGAGCCUCUUGUGCUGUUUGGAGGACCGAAGCGGCUCCUGGGAGGUUCUGCAGCCAUUUUAAAAACAAUAAUGAAAGUAAUCAUUAAUAUCAAUCUUACAGACAAAGUGGAUGCUAAGUAAAGCAGUCUGGAAAACAGAGAAUGAGAAGCAGCAGUAAAAUGCAAAACGAGCCAUCAAUCAAAAUCUUUUCCACUUCUUCCAGAAAGUUUUAAAACUGUUGUCUUUCCUCAGCAGAUGGAGAGAGACAAGGGAGAGAAUAACAAGAACAG